CUUUAUGGUGGCGACCGGCGGACGGGUGCGUAACGCGUAUGCAACCUGCCUGACACAGGGGGAUAAUCCGAAGAAAUUUGGUCUAAUACCCCAUAAUACCGAUAUAGGCAUCUAUGUUGGUUGAAAGCUUUGGUGGUGUCAGAUGGGCAUGCGUUGUAUUAGCUAGUUGGUGGGGUAACGGCCCACCAAACCUUCGAUGGAUAGGGGUUCUGAGAGGAAGGUCCCCCACAUUGGAACUGAGACACGGUCCAAACUCCUACGGGAGGCAGCAUG
rnacentral:rRNA from 1 species